rnacentral:rRNA from 1 species
AGAUUAAGUUAUUAAGGGCGCACGGUGGAUGCCUUGGCACUAGAAGCCGAUGAAGGACGUUACUAACGACGAUAUGCUUUGGGGAGCUGUAAGUAAGCUUUGAUCCAGAGAUUUCCGAAUGGGGAAACCCAGCAUGAGUUAUGUCAUGUUAUCGAUAUGUGAAUACAUAGCAUAUCAGAAGGCACACCCGGAGAACUGAAACAUCUUAGUACCCGGAGGAAGAGAAAGAAAAUUCGAUUCCCUUAGUAGCGGCGAGCGAAACGGGAAGAGCCCAAACCAACAAGCUUGCUUGUUGGGGUUGUAGGACACUCUAUACGGAGUUACAAAGGACGACAUUAGACGAAUCAUCUGGAAAGAUGAAUCAAAGAAGGUAAUAAUCCUGUAGUCGAAAAUGUUGUCUCUCUUGAGUGGAUCCUGAGUACGACGGAGCACGUGAAAUUCCGUCGGAAUCUGGGAGGACCAUCUCCUAAGGCUAAAUACUCUCUAGUGACCGAUAGUGAACCAGUACCGUGAGGGAAAGGUGAAAAGCACCCCGGAAGGAGAGUGAAAUAGAACCUGAAACCGUGUGCUUACAAGUAGUCAGAGCCCGUUAAUGGGUGAUGGCGUGCCUUUUGUAGAAUGAACCGGCGAGUUACGAUUUGAUGCAAGGUUAAGCAGUAAAUGUGGAGCCGUAGCGAAAGCGAGUCUGAAUAGGGCGUUUAGUAUUUGGUCGUAGACCCGAAACCAGGUGAUCUACCCUUGGUCAGGUUGAAGUUCAGGUAACACUGAAUGGAGGACCGAACCGACUUACGUUGAAAAGUGAGCGGAUGAACUGAGGGUAGCGGAGAAAUUCCAAUCGAACCUGGAGAUAGCUGGUUCUCUCCGAAAUAGCUUUAGGGCUAGCCUCAAGUGAUGAUUAUUGGAGGUAGAGCACUGUUUGGACGAGGGGCCCCUCUCGGGUUACCGAAUUCAGACAAACUCCGAAUGCCAAUUAAUUUAACUUGGGAGUCAGAACAUGGGUGAUAAGGUCCGUGUUCGAAAGGGAAACAGCCCAGACCACCAGCUAAGGUCCCAAAAUAUAUGUUAAGUGGAAAAGGAUGUGGCGUUGCCCAGACAACUAGGAUGUUGGCUUAGAAGCAGCCAUCAUUUAAAG